rnacentral:RNase_P_RNA from 2 species
GAAGCGAAUCGGGUAGUCGCUCCGGGAGUUAUCUCCCGGAGAGGAACGUCCGAACUCCACAGGACAGCGUGCCCCGAUAACGUCGGGGGGGACAGGAAGGUUGGCUUCGUGCCUACGUGACUGUCAACGGAAAGUGCAACAGAAAAGAUACCGCCCCGAUUCCUUCGGGGUAAGGGUGAAAUGGUGAGGUAAGAGCUUACCGCAUCUUCGGGUAACCGGGAUGGCAGUGCAAACCCCGCGCGGAGCAAGGCCAAGCAGAUGUUGCGAAGUUGUCCGCUUCUCCACCUUGCGGUGGAUCAACAUCGGGUAGGCUGCUCGAGGGUCGGAGCAAUUCGACUCCCAGAUAAAUGGCUACCACGUCUCUGACUUUUGUGAGAUGACGUACAGAAUUCGGCGUACAGAUUCGCUUCGGAG